GAGUUACAAUUAGUUCUUUUUAAAAAGCAUUAUGGAAUUUUCCAAAAAAUUGAUAAUUUUGGUUACCAAGCAAGCCAUGUAAGAUAUGAAACUUCAAAUUUUAUAGGUUGAUAUGAGUAUUUUUGAAGGUUUUAUUACUUUGUACAAACACAAAGUCAUUUGUAUUAUAGUUUAGCACCUGCUUUGAUAGAUAUCUGACAGCCUGAAAAUUCGUCUGUCACUGAGCACCAUUCACAUUCAUUUAUAUUGCUCUGAUAUCAUAAUAGUGGGUUCCUUCUAAUGAAGUCAUUGUCAUAAGAAACCCUGUCAGAAAAGUAUAAUAAAAAGUCUAAUAAUCAGAAGCGUACUUAAAACAGAUAAUGUUGGAAAACCUCAACAUUUCUGAUGCCAUCACAUCACCAACGUUCCAUUGGCUACCCAACAGUUCCCAGUUUGGAAGCUGAAAAGCAUUCAAGUAAAAAUGUAGACUAUACGGAAAAGUUCUCAAUGUCAAUAAUUUUAUACCCACAUUCAGACUGUUAGAAAUUGUGUCUGAAACUUGUUGCAAGGUCAGACUGUUGUAAACUUUAAAAAUAAUUAUCUCUCUCUGUGAAUGUAUGUAUUUUCAGAGAGUAUGCACUUUAAUAAUAUUUCCUUACUUAUUUUUGUAUUGACCAAAUAGUCUAUGCUUCUUUGAAAUACUUAUUCUUUAGUGAAAAUAUGGUCGUUCAUGAUGAUAGUUUUUUAAAUGUCCAUUUCUGCAGCACCACAAUAUUUCCUUCUCAUUUGUGUUCUUUAUACUUAUGUGGGUUCCCGACCCAGUUGCCUAUUACAGGGUUUCUGCCUUGGUUUUGUAUUCCAAUAAGAUAAUUAAUUUAUAAAGACAAGCAUUUACAGUGAGGUUCUCCCUCUUGAGAUUGACCUUCAAUUUUCCCCUAAAAACUGGUUGGCCAUGCUCGCCAUUGACUUUUUUCUAAAAAUAGUAAUUUCUUGCAAUUGGUAGAACUGGAUUGCUUGGUCACAUGACUGCCCAGCUUAACUAUGUGUGCCUCUUUCAAAUAAGUCGAGUCAAAGAUUUCUUAUCUUCAGUCUGCCUCUUUUUAGUUACUGGGUAGAACUAGAAAUUUUAUCAAUAAGACUUUUCCUCUCCUAUCUAAACUUUGCCCUUUCUGGGUUCUAAAUAAAUGUGCAUAACUAAUAGAUUGCCCAAAGUCCUGAUUUUGCAGUCAGAGCUUUCAGCAUUCCAACCCAGUAUGAUCAUCACUGACUAAGAGCUUGAAGGAUAAUACUGAAUUCUUAAGCACCAAGGCUGUGCCUCUCAACCUUAGAAAACUUUAAAUGGCUCCUUUCCGAAGUUAGUAAUGAGUAUGUUUUGAAAGAAGGGCUAGGAGAGAAUUUUCUGCUUGCAGAAUUAAUAUUGGCAGAGAUAAGUCAAUUCACCUCUAAUAUGGAGAGUUGAACCUUUCCAUGACUUAAGAAAAUAUAGUUGUACCUUUUGUUAAUGAUUUCUUCAAUAGCCCUCUGCAAUUAGAAGUGACUGAAAGCCAUUUUCUUAUACACCUUGUUAGCCAAAGAUAAAAAUUAUAACUCAAUACUAGAAAGUACUUAAAAUAAAAAACAAAAUUCCUCAUUGUUUAAUUCUGCUGGUGACUGAUUCUCUUUAUCCCUUUUCAUAUAUUAAUUGGGGAAUCAGAAGUGGUUUGUGACCUUUAGAGCAUGGCUCCCACCAUGACCCCUGGUUGUUUUGCUUUUCGUUAUAUAUCUAGAUAUCCAUUCUCUUGUUCAGGAUUGUCUUGGCUAUUCCUGGGCCAUGAAUCUUUCAGAUGAAAUUUUAACAUUCGUGUCAAGUUCUACAAAAACUGUUGCUUUGCAUUCAUUUCUUAAGUGAAGUUUAGUUUUUAAACCUUAAUGUUUCUACUAUAGAAUCACUAGCAUAUUAUAAGCAUCAUUUCUGUCUUUUCCAGUGUAAAUGUUCUUUUCUAAUUUAAUAGCUUCAUAAUUGGAAGUGUUCCAACAGAAGGAGAACCUGACUAUCCUAAGGGGCUGAUAAAGUUACUGGAAUGCUGAUUUCACCAUAAUGUAUGUAACUACGCCAGAAUGUUUUGUAAACUGGCAAUAAAACAUAUCACACCUUAAAUCUCUAAGUGAUGUGCUUGUGUAUGUAUGUGUAUUCGUAUGUGUGUACAUACCUUCAAAUAAAAAGACACAAAACCAUCUCGGGCCUUUAGUUUGAAGCACUCUAUGCUUCUCUGAUGAUUCUGCUUCUACUUUACUGAGCCAGCUACUAAAGGAACCUCAGUGUGAUGAUGAAUAGACUUGCUUCAAAAAGGAGAAUGAAGGAGUUCCUUCUAUGGCACAGCAGGUUAAGGAUCCGGAAUUGUCUCUGUAGCAGCAUGGGUUCGAUCCCCUGCCCGACACAGUGAAUUAAAAUUUACAGCAUCUGCAACUGUGGCUCAGGUUCAGUCCCUGGCCUGGAAACUUCCAUAUCCCUCAGGUGUGGCCAUUUAAAAAAAUUAAAAAGAGGAUGAAAGGAAGCAGAAUAUGCCACCCUAAAAUAUGCCUUUUUGACAUGAGGAUUAUUUUAAGCAGAUUAUUUUUAAGAAACAGACCCAGGAAAAGUUCUAAAAAUCUAGUAGAAGUUAUUCAUUUGUAGGGAAAGUUUACAUUCAUAAGAGAAAUUUUUAUUUAAAAGAAUAUCAUCUAAUCUGUACCAGGAAGAGGUUGACUUCAAAUCACAAGAAACUCUUAGCAAUGGAGAAGAUACCCAACUUAAAUCUGCAUUGCAACCUUUCCUUGUUUACUGUACUUUUCCUGGUAACUUCCCAUAACUGGCUUUCUCCACUCCCAAUGGUUUUGUGUCAUUAGCUCUAGAAGGUAUUUAAGGUGAUAACUUCGGCCAUUUGGGGGAGUUGCUCAGUAUUCCAGGGUGCCUCUUGUGUAUAGGAUGUAUACAUGUUAUUAAACUCCUAUUUGUUUUUCUCUCAUUAAUUUGUCUUUUAUUACAGGGGUGGGGUCUCAACCAAGAACCUAAAAUUGUGGAGGGAAAAAUUUUUUUCAUCCCUGACAGUUUGGCAACCCAUGAUGGAACCUGCUUAGACACCAUACUUGCUCUGGGGGCUGAAGAUAGGAACCUGGAAAACGCAGAAAGCAGCAACGGACAUGCCUCUUAUUUUAUUAAAUACUUAAUUGCUCUUACCAUAUAAAGCUAACUCGGGGGGCCCACCUACAGCACCGGCUACUGAAAUGAAACAACUGUCUAACUGAACUGAUCUAUUCUCAAGACUAAGAGAUUGUUCAAUGACAUAAUAGAGCAGUCCAUCAACCUAGCUUCUGACCUGUGAGACUUCUUUGAACUUUUAAAGACAGGACUGAAAGCGAGCAGGGUUUUGCCAUACCAGAAUAUCUCUUUGGAAUAAGGAUUUCGUUGAGUUUAUUUUUAAGAAACAGCAGGCACAGGAAAAACUCUGAAAACCUAGUAGCAAUGACCCUUUUGUAAGUGAUAUUUACAUUUAUGAGGGAGGUCUCCACUGUAAGGGUGUCUCUCUGAACCUGGGAGAAGGAUCACUAAAUGACAAGAAACGCAUCAGAUGGAGACAGUGCCCAACUUAAUUCUACAAAACAACCUUACCGCUUUUUUACUAUAGCGACCCUCCUCCACCUUUCUUAUGUCUUUAGCUGAAGAAGGUAUUGAAGGUGAUGGCUUGGGCCAUUUCAGGGGAGUUAAACUCAGAUUUCCAGGGUAUCUUUCCACAUACAUACAGGAUAUACGAGGUAUACAUGGUGUUAGACUUCUGUUAUUUUUCACCUGUUAAUCUGUCUUAUUACAGGAAUGAGGUCUCUGGUAAGAAUUUAGAAGAGUGGAGGGAAAAUUAUUUCUACCCUAAAAAGACAUUUAGAAAGUUUGUGAGUUAUUACCUAUUAAAAUCAUAGCUUUUUCUCUUGUUGAAGAGCAGAACUCUCAAUCAACCAUGAUCUCAAAGAAACACACCAUAAUCCAGUGCUAAUGCAGAAUGGUAUAUUCUUAGCCUCAGAAAGGCACAGCAUACAUGGUUCAAACAGCAAAUCUGUGGUGGCCAUCAGAGCUCUGGCAGGGGUUACAUUACAUAUGUUAAACAGUGCAGGCUUAUAGCCAUUUCAUAAGUUUAGAAGACUAGGUCAUUUACAGUGGAAUGUAUAUAAAUACAGGCACAUUUUUCACCAAUACAAGAUAUAUGCUGUGUAUAGCCCAUUUAUCUUAUUCAACUUUGGUUUUAUAGUGACCAAAUUGUGGCAAAACUAAAUUAGAGGUACUGAUACAGUUAUUAAUUUGACUUAGAAAUUUAACACAAACUAUCUUAAAAAAAUCUUUGGUGGCAUAGUAAAGGCAUACUUCAGUACUCAAUUAUAAGAUUUAGUUUAAAAAAAAAAAAAAGGCACUCAAACUAACCCUAGAGGUCUCAAAGCAUGAUCUAUAAAUUGACAGGCUACUCUGUUAUGUGAUUUUUCAAAUGGCUAUUAUUACACACUAAUUAAAAAAAAAAAAACUAAAUCACAGUGGCUUUUUGAAAUUGUGUAAAAUAAUCAAAUUCAAAAAUUAGACAAAAUCUUACAGCCUCAAGUCAAAAAAAGAAAUACAAAAACAAUUUGAGAAUAAAGACUUAGAAAAAAGUUUUGCUAAAUCCACAUAUCUCACAAGCUUCAUCACCCAUCCCUGUCCCUGUCCCUGUGGCAUCAUGAUGGACUUGGUACAGCCCAGUGAGCUGAGCCAGGUGAUGUCAGAAGUACUUUCAGAUAAAAUAUCGGGAGCUUGCAAACUGGGUCUUCUGGCAUGGCUGAGGAGUGAGCAGCAGCUUCUAAACCAGGUUGAAUUCCCUCAGGUUUAGUUGUAGAAUUGUGUCUUUCACAGCAGCAAACACGAAGCGGAUAUUCUCUGUGUCUGUAGCACAUGUGAAGUGGGAAUAGAUGACUUUCUCUUUGUCAGGAUUCUGAUCUUGAUAAAGCUUCAGGAUAAAAUCUCUGGCAGCUUUGACAUCUUGCUUUGGUCCUAGUCACGAGGGCAGGUAGAGGAAGAAAGAAGGAAGAUACCAACUCACCACCAGGUCCUCCCCAAAAUCAUUUUCAGUGUACCCCUCUGUUCUUAUUUCUAGAGACUUCAUUUACCUGGGGCAUUAUUAUUAUAUACCUUAUUAUGAAGCUAUAAAAGAUUAUUUUAGUCCCCUGGUAUCUAAAAAUCAUACCUUAAGGAGUUCUGUUGAAAAAUAGAGACCUAAUUUAAAUUUCUGAUUUGGAUCACUUUUUUUGUUUCUUGGCCGAGCCCGAGGGAUGUAAAAAUUCCCAGGCCAGGGAUCCAACCUGCACCACAGCAGUGACUUGAGCCUCUGCAGUGACAAUGCCAGAUCCUUAACCACUAGGCCACCAGGAACUCCAUGAUUCGGACCACUCUUGAAGAGAGGUGAAAGACAAGACUUAGGAUAAACUGGAAAGAAGAGCAGUGCUUUGGGAACAAUAUGCCAGAUCACUGGUUCCAUCCAUCGUCCCCCUGCCCAGCUGAAGUCCCCUGGUCACUGUCCUUGCUGAGGCUGGUGAGCAUGUGGGGCCCCUCAGGGCACCUGGCCUAUUUCCCUCCCCCCACCACCCUCUCAUUAAUCACCCCCUUAUAGAUCUCCUCUCUUCUGUCACCCAAACUCUUCUGUGGCCCCAAUAACACAUAAGCAUAUAAGAAAGGCUUUUGUUCAACUCAGAAAACAGUUUUCUGUGAAUAAAUUGCGAUUAUGAAGUGGGGGCAGGUCAGAGCUGCAGACCUGAGAUGCCCAUUUUAAUUGAGGAUAGGCUUCCAGGCUGGGUAUCGGGAGUCCCAUAACAAUGAGAGGAAGGAAGGCUCUUCUUGCAGGACCACUGCCCUCAGGAACGCUGGGCACAAGCAGAGAGGGGACUAAUGCCACCCAGCACCUGCCCCGUGCCACACUUUACACACAUGUGACAGUGAGCUCUCCAAGGGGAACAGGCCCCCAUUUUAUGGAUGAGCCUACUAUCUGUUGCUCACAAAAUUUAAAUACUUUUCCAAGACUAUAAUGGUACAGUCUAGUGGAAGCUAUGUAGGAUAGUAAUAAUUUCUAGAUGUUAGACACUGGCAAGAAACUAUUAAAUGAUCCUGAUUUAUGGAGAGCAGACAGGGCACAUACAAAUCUUAUCUGGUGACAAUAAUCCUUCUUGCUAGGAUUUUGCUCUCUCAAGUAUUUCUAAGAGAAAAGAAACCCUUCCCUUCCUCCCUUUGGACUGAGAAAUGUGAGAACCCAGUGCACCUGCUCCAGGGGGACAUGCUCUAAAUGUCUGUUCCUACAACUCCCAACACCUGGGCCCACUGUCCCACCCAGUACAUUUUGGGGAAUCAGUUCUGGAAUUUAUUACCAGUAAGGUAACCCCUCACUUAUUGUUAAAGCUGCUUUAAAAUUUACUACAAUCUUAAUAAUAAUCUCCAAGAAAACACAACAUAUGAAAAAAAUGAUUCCUAUAUAGUACAGUGGAUGCAGUGUAUCUACAACCAGGAUGGAAAAGUCUGGAGUGGCAACCACUUAAUUUUUCCCAAAAUACCUUGGAUUUUUUCAGAGAGGAUAAACUGUUUAAUUUCUAAGCACAUCAGGCUAAGGCACACCUGACUAAUCUUUUGAGUUUCCUGAGAAAUGUCCUAAGUAAUUCCUGAGGCUAAUUUUUCAUACUGAUAACUCAGUGCCUUUGCUUUUUUAAAAAAAUGUAUCCACUGGAAGAGCUGGGCAGCAGCCAAGAUUUCUGUUCUUUGCACAAUGACACUAGUAAAUGGGUUAAUCCUUCCCUAAUUAGCUAAUGUAAUCGUGCUCCUCAGAGAGGUCGGCUCUUGAGAAAUACAAGGUAAAAUUUGUUCAUAGUUAUUGCCUAAUCCUGGACAGAAUUUUUUAUUGAUUUACUCUCAUGCCCUACCAGCAAGAGAUAGUUCUAAAAGGUCACAAAGUCUUGUGCAAAGAGGGUCGGGGAAGGGUUGAUAGGAAGCAAUGGUUAUGGCACAGAAAACAUCCCUACCCUCACAAAGAGACUGUGAUGGUUCUCUUUGCAUUCCAGGCAGAUCCAGCUAGUGGAGCUCACCCAGCUAGCGCUCUGACAGCUCUGCAGAGGACACUAAAUGCCCGCUGAGGUGGAUCAGCCCCAGCUGCCCAGAGCAAGUCCCUUCUAGGGGGAGCAAAGAGUAGAUGCUAUCCCAGGCAGCCCUGAGACAGCCCCAGACAUGUGCCUCCCCUCCCCAUGUCACCUCAGCUAGGGAUCAAAUUUGGGAGUGAGUGCCAUGGGCCAUGGUGGUCAGGAAGCCUGUUCUCAGAUAAAGUCUUUCAGAACCAAUGUGUUCAACUUUAGCUGUAUAUUAUAGAUACUCGCAACUCAAAACCAGGAAACACAAAUCUGUAUUGUAGGAUCUAGAAGAUGUUUUUCUUAAAAAACAAAAAACAAAAACAAAAAAAAACUCCCCAGGGAAUUCCAAUAUGCAGCCAAGACUGAGAACCUUGCUUUUGAGUGGCUCCACCCUCCCUUAAUAGCACAGAUUAGAGCCUCAGGCCCAGGCGAUAACCACCACUGAUUGCAUCGGAAUCUCUGAAGUUGGACCCAGCUGUCAGGUUUUUCUUUAAGAUCCCCAGGGAAUUUUAGUAUAAAUCUAAGUUUGUGAACCAGGAUUCUAGUUCAGUGAUUCUCAGAUUACCUGGGAUCUUGUUACAGAUUGUAAUUUAUUCACUCUAGGUUGAUUCAGAGGGUAUGCAUUUUUACCAGGCACCAGAUUGCACUUCAACAAGCAAGGUGAUUUAACCUAAAAGAUAGAAUCUAAUGCCAAAGCUGGCUGGCUUUUUGCAAACUGCAGAAAUAGGUUGUUGCCUUCCACAUCUAACCAAACUCCCCACCCAGCAUACCUCAUUAUCACACUCAGCCAGGACCUGGUCAUAUUCACUCAGAGCAACCAAAAAAAUUAUGGAAGUGACACUCUCAAAGCAAUGAAUCCAUUUCCGUCUUUCAGAUCGCUGGCCACCAACAUCCACCAUCCUGUUCAAUAGAAAUAUGACUCUUUGAGGGAAAACCACAUGGAAAUCAGGGUUCUUUAGGGUCCUCAAUAAUUUUAAAGAGUAAAAAGGGACCCUGAGGUUAAAAUGUUUGAGUACCACUGAUUUAGGCGAUGAGGAACCACUGGAUGUUUCCUAGCAAAGGAGACACAGGAUGUAAGUGAAGUUACCAAAGAGGGAUGCAGAGGUCACUCAGGUGGAGCCCACUUGGAGACACUACUUAGGAAGCUGAUGCAACAGUUCAGGCAGAAAGCUCAAGCAUCCAUUUAGGUGUUGCUCUAACCACUGCUAAGAGCCAAGACACCAGACACAAGAGGGCAGAAAUGCAGGCAGGCUUCCUGGGCCAUUCAGCUUCCUUUAGAACCUCACCCCUCCUUGUUCCCAUGGCUCUUCUAAUUCAUCUACAGAGCCUUUCUGCAUUAGCUGGAUACCCCGCCCCCCAACCCCAUUCCCUAGAAAGACCUGCCCUCUGUCCAAUAUGGAAAUCCAGAGCCCUUAUCUGUGUCUAAGUUCAGGGGGUCAGAGCCCAAGGAUGAGUCAGUCACAAGCCGGAAUGUGCCAGGGGUUAGGCAGUUUCACAAAUGAAUCCAGUGGGCCCCUCUAGAGUAGAAAAGCCUGCACUUUGAGAGUGCUGGGGCCCUGUCCAAAGGGCUGGCUGCUACACCACUGCAGCAACCGCAGCAGGGCAUAAACCCAGGCUCGCUGUUUGUCCAGAUCCUCCAACUUACCAAGAGAUAGAAAUUGUUUUAAGCAAAAUAGCGUGGUUUUUAAAUGUUGGCUCAUGAGUGUUUUAAACACCAAGUGGGCCAAAGAGAACAUUUGUGUGGACCAGAUUCAGGUUUUGGAAGUGCAAGCAGCAGGUGAUUCUGAAAAGGUCUGGAUAAAUUCAUGGGCACUCAGGCAUGGGGCAUGUGCUCACAGAGAUGCAGAAUAUCGUGGGGCUGAACCAGAGGGCUCCCUCAACGUGACAGUGCUCCAGAAGCACUGAGAUGCAAUGGGGUACAGCCUGGACCUAAACAAGCAUAUGUAACAAUUACUAGGAGGAACAAGGGAACUAAUGGAUACCAAAGUGCUUUGAAAUUUGCAGUGAUAAAUGUUGGAGAAGGAAAUACAAAUAGAAGGGGAGAGAAACACUCAAAUUUAGGGAAAAGACACCAGUAUCUUCAGUCUGUGGGUUACAGAAAUACACAUCUCUGUGUGUAUGUUUUAUACAUAAUCAUUCCAGACAUCAGUAAGGAGACUCUUCUUCUCUAAGGGGAAUAGAAAGGUGUGUUUGUCUCCACUGCAGUACUUGCGACAACCACAAUUCUAAAUAUCCUGUCGUGGAGAGGCCACUGUUGCCCUAAAAGGAGAUAUAAGCCUUUUUAGCAAUAAUGCACUUAAGAAUCCAUCUGGGGACUUCGGAGCCUGGACAAAUUCUUAAUGGCCUGUGUUGGGGAGAUAGUCUUACCGAAAGAUUAUGUUUUCCAAGUCAAAUGGAUAUUCAAUGAUGCCAGUUGUGGGCACACGGACACGAAGAACAUCUUGCUGUGUUGGCACAAACGAUGGCAUGGCGAUCCGGUCAAUGUCAGUCAGGUAACUGAUAUUAGAGAACAAGAUGCUGAGAAGGGGGAAUGCCCAUCCCCCUCCAGGGAAGUCACCCCAGCUCCCAGCGACCCCCAUUCAGAUUCCAUCAAUGACUGUCGUGAUAGCCAGUGCUCCAGCCCUCCUACAGCUGUUGUGGAGAGAAUAUGGAUCAGAAGCCUUCAUGAGCCUCCUGGGAUGUUUUCCUCCUGGUUCUUAGCUCCAUCACUCUGGCUGGUGAGGGAGCCGGCAGAACCACAGGAGGAGGAAGUUGGAAUUGGCUCUCUGACAUUCCAUCUGUCCUUCCUCCAAAGGCUCUCUCCCCUCCCACAUGCCCUCAUCCAAGAACACUGGAGAAACUAGAUGCUUUUCUUGAACACUUUUGCUCAACGCAUUAGGGUUUUUAAGAAAAAUAAAGGCAUAAAACCAGCCAA